CCUACGGGAGACAGCAGUGAGGAAUAUUGGUCAAUGGACGAGAGUCUGAACCAGCCAAGUAGCGUGAAGGAUGACUGCCCUAUGGGUUGUAAACUUCUUUUAUAAAGGAAUAAAACGAGGCACGUGUGCCUUUUUGCAUGUACUUUAUGAAUAAGGAUCGGCUAACUCCGUGCCAGCAGCCGCGGUAAUACGGAGGAUCCGAGCGUUAUCCGGAUUUAUUGGGUUUAAAGGGAGCGUAGAUGGGUUGUUAAGUCAGUUGUGAAAGUUUGCGGCUCAACCGUAAAAUGGCAAUUGAUACUGGCAGUCUUGAGUACAGGUGAGGUAGGCGGAAUUCGUGGUGUAGCAGUGAAAUGCUUAGAUAUCACGAGGAACCCCGAUUGCGAAGGCAGCUUACUAAACUGUGACUGACAUUGAUGCUCGAAAGUGUGGGUAUCAAACAGGAUUAGAUACCCCAGUAGUC
rnacentral:rRNA from 1 species